rnacentral:rRNA from 1 species
AUUAACGCUGGCGGUGUGCCUAAUACAUGCAAGUCGAGCGCUCUGGACCCUGUUUACAAGGUAUUGUAGAUAGAGUCCAGAGAGCGGCAGACGGGUGAGUAAUACGUUGGUAUCUGCCUCGAAGUCAGGGAUAAGCCUUAGAAAUAGGGUCUAAUACCGGAUAGUCCCGUAAGGGUAAAGCAGCAAUGCGCUUUGAGAGGAACCUGCGUCCUAUCAGUUAGUUGGUGAGGUAAUGGCUCACCAAGACUAUGACGGGUAGCUGGUCUGAGAGGAUGAUCAGCCACAAUGGAACUGAGACACGGUCCAUACUCCUACGGGAGGCAGCAGUAAGGAAUUUUUCGCAAUGGGGGAAACCCUGACGAAGCAACACCGCGUGAGGGAUGAAGGCCUUUUGGUUGUAAACUUCUUUUUUGAGGGAAUAAAUAUGAAGGUACCUCAAGAAUAAGCAUCGGCUAACUACGU